GGGAGCGACCAUACCAGCACUUAAUCACCGAAUCCAUCAGAACUCCACAAUUAAGUGUGCUUGGGAGUGAAUAGUACUACGAUGGGUGACCUCUUGGGAAGUCCUCGUGUUGCACCUC
rfam:Gossypium raimondii chromosome 6, whole genome shotgun sequence.